GGCCGACUAGCUCAGCUGGUUAGAGCGUCGUGCUAAUAUCAUACUUGAGGAUAUCAACGCGAAGGUCUUGGGUUCGAUCCCCACGUUGGCCA